rnacentral:rRNA from 1 species
CCUACGGGAGGCAGCAGUGAGGAAUAUUGGUCAAUGGACGAGAGUCUGAACCAGCCAAGUAGCGUGAAGGAUGACUGCCCUAUGGGUUGUAAACUUCUUUUAUAUGGGAAUAAAAUGUUCCACGUGUGGGAUUUUGUAUGUACCAUAUGAAUAAGGAUCGGCUAACUCCGUGCCAGCAGCCGCGGUAAUACGGAGGAUCCGAGCGUUAUCCGGAUGUAUUGGGGUUAAAGGGAGCGUAGGUGGAUUGUUAAGUCAGUUGUGAAAGUUUGCGGCUCAACCGUAAAAUUGCAGUUGAAACGGGCAGUCUUGAGUACAGUAGAGGUGGGCGGAAUUCGUGGUGUAGCGGUGAAAUGCUUAGAUAUCACGAAGAACUCCGAUUGCGAAGGCAGCUCACUGGACUGCAACUGACACUGAGGCUCGAAAGUGUGGGUAUCAAACAGGAUUAGAUACCCUAGUAGUC